GACAAAAAAGCUCAAGGCAGGAACAGCAGCCCAGGGACCUGAGACCAGCGUUCUCAAAUGAAGGUGCCAGAUCUGCUGUUAGAGGAGAAUUCUUCUGUCCUAGCUGUGUCUCUGUGAUCUGUGGAUGAGGGUGGGAAAGCACCACUCAGUCAAUUGGGGUGUACAAAAUGGAGUUUGAGAAGGUCUCACAUCCAGGUUGUUUUGAAGCAAAGUCCAAGCAUUGUAUCACUUCAUCUGCAAAUAUUUCAAUAAGUACCCAAAAGGUAAGGAUGCUUAAAAUAUCCUCAUAAUAUCAUUAUUAUGCCUAAUAGGUUUUUUUUUUUAUCAAUUAUCUAGUCAGUGUUUACGUUUCCACAAUUGUUUUAAAUUUUGUCAUUAUUUAUUUUAUAGCUUGUUAGAAACAGGCUUUUAAUAAGAGCUAUAGAUUAUAAUUGUUUGAUAUGUUUCUUAAAUCUCAUGGAAUUGUAAAUUCUUCCUCUAUCAAUUUUUUCUUUUAAAAAAUAUAAUUAUUUUUAUUUUUAAAAUAGAUUUAGGGAAUAUAACUUUUUUCUUGCAUUUUUUUUUUUUUGCUAAAACUGCAUCAUUUGUGUUCUGUGUUGUGUCUUAUAUAAUGUGCCACAAUCUGGAAUUUGCUGCCUGGAUCCCCAUGGCAUCGUAUAAGACAUUCAUCUGUCCCUUGUAUUUCUUGUAAAUUGGUAGUUAGAUCCAGAGGCUUAAGUUUAUUCAGGUUUGAUUUUUUUUUUUUUGCAAGAAGCUGUUAUGCACUUUCAUCACUCAAAGUUUGGCAGCAAUUGAAGUUCAUCAUCUACUCCAGACUCUCUAGAGCAGCAUUCGCUAAUACAAGUUUCUAUGGUGAUGGAAGUAUUCUAUAUCUGUUCUAUCUAAUAUGGUAGCCACUAGCCACACAUGGCUACUAAGCACUUGAAUUGUGGCUAGUGUGGCUGAGAAAUUGGCUUUUUAUUUAAAAACUUUUAAUUACUUUUAAUUUAAAUAGUCACAUGUGGCUAAUGAUUACCAUAGCAGAUAAUAUAGCUCUUGACUCAUUAAUUCAUUAAUGGCUAAAAAAUAAUAAUCUUAUUUUAUAAUUUUUUCUUCAUUAAUUAAAAUAUUUUUAUAAAGAGAAACUUCCUCUUAUCAACUGAAUUGUUGCCAUGAGAUUCAGUUCAUACAAUACAGGCAGAAAAGUAGUUUAAUUUUCCCCCAUAUUUAUCAGUUAUCAAAUAAUGAGUUGAUUCCCUAGUAUUCUCCAAAGGUGACCCAAGGAGAUUUUUUUUGUUAUGAAGUCAUAUUUUGUAUUUUAAUUCAUUGUAAUUAUUCUUAUUGAUGCUCAAAUUGAUCUAACCUUGGCCAGAGAGAACCUAUUUCUUUUGAGUGCUCUUCAUAUGAUCCUGUGAAUAUCAGUGUCCUGACUUCAUCUACAUUGUUCCAGGGUCAUCUUAUACAUGGCCUGUCUCAUGUCUAAAAUUAGCCAUUUGUCCAAGAAGCCCUGAUUCCAGUUAGUAGUCUAUUUCAAGAACAUAUCUGGACACUUGGGGUGAUCAUUGCUAUUGGGUUGGUAAUUCUUCUAGCUUGAUAAAAGCACAACUAGAAAUAGAUUUUUUUAAAAGAUAAACUAGAUCAUAAAUUUAUCUUGAUACAUUCAACUUAAAGUCAGGCAAUGGAAUUGUCUUUGAUUUUAACUUUUUUUUUGUUUUUAUGGUGAAAACCUGGAGUUUUAAUAACAUUAAUUUAGUUACCCAUUUCCUUUAUGCCACAAUAUAUACACAGUAAUUUCAGAAUAAACAAUACCAACAAUACCAGCAACAAAAUUAUUAUUGAGAAAGUAUAAGAUUUUUUUUUUGAUUUUGCAUAAUUUUUGUCCUUAGGGUCCUUCUCAUGGAUGACAUUUUAUUGUAUUUUAGGUUUAUAUGAAGUAGUUCAUCCUUGUGUGGUUUUGCCACAAACUGGAUACACUUUUAUAUUUCUUUCAUUUUAUUUUUAGAUAAAUGAGAUAUCUUUUUAAGAAAUGUAGUUUAAUUUUAUGAUUAUGUAAGAUAUUUAUAAAUGUGGUUUGAGAGUAAAAUCUAUAAAACAAAGUAUUCAAAGAUGUUUAGAUUCUCUAUCUCCUUAACUCAAUUUCCUCACUCCAAGGAUUUAUUUAAAAACAUUUACGAUUUAAUCCUUCAUUUAUUGUUAUUAGCAAAGAUGUGUAUAUAUUUUUAUCCUUCUUAUAUUAACCAUAGUAUACUAUAUAAAAUUUCUCCCCUACUCUUUGUAAAAACUAAAUGUAUCCUGGAGAUCACUGAACAAUAAUAUGUAGAGAUUGGUCUCAUUUCUUUUUACAGCUGCAUGUGUUCUAUAUUUCAUUCAAUAAUUGCCUCCCCCCAGCAACCCUUUUUUUUAAAGACAGAGUCUUGCUCUGUCACCCAGGCUGGAGUGCAGUGGUGUGAUCAUAGCUCACUGCAACCUUGAACUCGUGGGCUCAGGUGAUCUACCUGUUUCCAAGUUGCUUGACUACAGGUGCUCACCACUGUGCCUGGCAUUUUUGCAUUGUUUGUAGAGACAGGGUCCUGCUAUGUUGCCUAGGCUGGUCUUGCACUCUUGGCCUUGAGUGAUCCUCGCACCUUGGCCUCCCAAAGUGCUGGGAUUAUAGGUGUGAGCUACCACUCGUGGCUAAUAAUCCCCUUAUUAAUGAGCAGUUACGUUGUGGAAAGUUUUUUUUUUUUCCAAAUGAUAGCUGCAGUAGCAGUAGCAGCAGCAGCAGCAGCAUCAAAUAUGUUACCUUUCUCCAUAAUCUUUGCUUAUUCACUAGGUUUAUGUAGGUAUUCAUAAAAAUUUAAAACAUAAAUACGUUAUAUUAAUGACCCAAGACAAGUGUUGGUAAAAAACUAAGGUACAUUAAUGCAAAGUUAUAGGUCUUGGUAUCCUCCAACUCAAAUAAAAUAUUUUAAUUUUCAUUAAUUAUCCCAUUAGGGGACUGAUUAGUAUUUUUCUGAUUUUCAGACUUCCUAGGAUAGAGCUUGGAAAGGUUGGAAAAGUAAGGAUGAUUGAACUUGAAAGGUGUGAAUGAAAGAAGAAUUAUCUUUUGGGAUGGAGAAUAGUAGCUGUUUUCAAAGAAGAUUUUAUUUUAUCUUUCAUUUUUGGCCUAUAAGUUUUGCAGAGAAUCUGUGAUUAGAGUAUUUAGUAAAGUACUAUGUAAUUAUUGUUCUGUUAUUUGGACACAUGUUUAAACUAGAAUUUUGAAGAUAGCAAUUAGCAAUAAUUAUGUAUGUUCUAGCCACUUUAUUCAUUCUACCUCUUUUACCAUAUACUUUAAAGAUAUCUAUAUGGUAAAAGGUAAGUGGCAACUGAAUAAUCACAAAUACAUCAACAAGUAAAGAGAUGCUUUGUUUUAUUGAGUGCAUUCUUAUAUUUUCUCUUUUGCUGGAAUAAUAAGUGGGGUUUUAAACUGAUCUGUUCUAACAUUGUUUUUCCUCAUUUUCUCUCUCUUUAGAGGGUUUCAGCAGGUUUUCAUACAUUCUCAGUUAGAAGCUGUUAUAAUUUUUAAAAUAAUACUCUAGUUCUAGUUAUUCUAUCACGAGCUGAUUCUAUUUAUACAACAAAUAAAUACUAAUUAAAACUACUCUAUAACCUUGAACUGUACAUUAGGGAAGUUAUACCUAUGGUGGAUGACUGAAAAGAGAGUCCAGGAUAAACUGAUACAUCUAAUUGCACAUAGUAGCCUUCGAAUCAAGACUCUCAAAUAGUAAAAUGCACUAAGCCAAUAUGGAUGGGAAUAGCCUCCUGCUGUUUUCCCAACUAUUUGAAUUUUUAAUAUCUUCUCUUAUAGCUAUAUACUUUUGGUUCAUUUAUGCUAGCGGUGUUAUCAGUGAAUGUAUUUUUAGAUUCUGUAUUCCAUAUUUUAGAUUCUGUAUUCCAUAUUUAAUGAAAUUUUAUUUAUAGGAAAGAAAGAAUGGGUAUGCAUAAGGACCUAAUCAAAGAGGCCUCUGACACCUGUUGAGCAGUUGUGUGAGUGUGUGAUUAUCCAUGGAAAAGAAGAUCAGAGGGAAACGGUGUUUAAAGCCUUUGAUUAGUUAGCAGAGAGAAUGAAGCAAGCCAAGUGCUUUGCACAAAGUGACAGAAAUGAAGGUAGAAGAAACAGUUACAAAUGGUGGUGGUACUAGAAGUAAGCUUCCCAUAACUUCUACUCCGAACUUCAAGAAGGCUGUGGUUUUGUGGAUAUUCUUCCUUUGGCAGUCUACUAAAUUAGAAGAACUGGAAUAUUAAUAGUAUUGAAUUCUAGCUCUUCAAAAAUAUCACCAACACAAUCUGUUGUUUAUAAAAGCUGAGUUUAUUCUUACCAUCGUAAGGAAAAGAACUGCCUUGACAGAGUCUUACUAGUCUUGGAAUGAGGAUGGCAAAGUUGGGAUUCUUAGGAGGUUUGGGGUCUAGUAUGAGGUGAGUUUUCAUUGUGGAGGCUUGCUUGAUCAAGGUUGAGUAAGGUGGGUGUAAACAGCAAGGCUAGGGCAUUGAGGUGAGGAAAUUCAGAGUCUUGGGAGGUAAACUAUAAUUUCAUACUAUGUAUGGAAGAGUUGAACAAUGCGAUAUUAAUUUAAUGGGGUUCUUGGAAAGUUCCUGGGAAGAUUAGUAAUUUGCAACUUUUAUCUUACUGGGCUAUAGUUUCUUGGAAUAGUAAGGUAAUGAUAAAACAAAUACUAUAUGUGAUUAUUAGCCAAAUUAAUCAAGUUUAUGAUUUCGUUGGUUGCUUCUCAGAUUUUUUUUUAAAGAUUCCAGAGAAAUCUACUGGGAUGUGAGCACAACAUUCUUAACCUAAAACAGCAUAUGUUCACCCUUUGUAGCUUGACAUUCUGUCUAGAGCAAUGAUCCCCAACCUUUUUGGCACCAGGCACUGGUUUCGUGGAAGACAGUUUUUCCAUGGACAGCGGUAGUGAGGGAUGAUUUCGGGAUGAAUUUGUUCCACCUCGGAUCAUCAGGCAUUAGAUUCUCAUAAGGUGUGUGCAACCUAGAUCCCUCACAUGCACAGUUUCACGAUAGGGUUUGUGCUUCUAUGAUAAUCUAAUGCUGCUGGAGGAGGAGGUAGAGCUCAGGCAGUAAUACCCCCUUGCCUGCUGUUCACCUCCUGCUGUGUGGCCUGGUUCCUAACAGGCCACGGACCAGUGCUGGUCCACGGCCUGGGGACUGGGGAUCCUGGUCUACAGUGUCUCUGUUCUGAACAACUGCCUGUCUGAUUUCAUGAAUCUCUCAUGUAAGGAAUUCUAUAGACUUGGUGUCAUUGUUUAACUAUCUCCCUUGAACUAUGGCCUGUAGGAUUCUGCCUGCUUUCUAGUCCUUUUGUAAAGCAUCAAGAGAAGAGGUUUGAGGAGACAAGGAAUUAAUACAGAAAUCUCCCUGAAUAGUUAGGUUCAGUUUUUCUUCUUCUUAAAUUAAGUUUUCUAAUGAUCUCUUUUUUCUUGAGGGGAAACUCAUGGGGCAAAAUGGACUCUAGGUGAUGUCAGAGAUCAUGCUAAAGGUAGGAAUCCAUUUACCAAGAUAACAAUCCUUGUUUAAUUUUUAGUAGGAGCCUAUUGAUUUUUGUUCAAUAAAUCCAAUACCAGUGACUGGGGACUACCCAGUGAUUUGAUUUUGGUCCGUAUGUGGUUAUCAAAUACUCCCAUGUGGUUAUCAAAUAGUGUUUUAAAGUUUGGUGCUCCUCAUCAAGAAUGAUGUUUCACCAGGCAAUGACAUUUGUAUUGUUGAAAUUAUUUGGUAGAUAUAAAGCAAAAGUGAAGUAUGUUUAUUUAUAUGAUAUGUGAAAAUGAUACAGCCUCCAAAUACAUACCAUCUGUUUUCUAGUUCUCUUUUAAUUUCUAUUUCUGUGAACAUUUGGAUAUAAAAGUUUUUACCCUCAAAAGGUUCUAGAAUAUUCUUUUGGUGGAGACAGGAAUCUUCUUUUCUAGGUAUGAUGUGAUGCUGUGGGUAAGAUUACCAUCUGGUUGACCUGUUGUGCAUUUUCUAGCUUAAAAAAAAAUAACCUAAGGGUUGAAUCCAGUUACCCAAGAAACUAACUGAUUCACUACAGGGAACUGGUACCAAGGGAAGCUAGAUGACUCUCAAGUGAAAAUGUGCAAACUCCACGUUGAUUUUCCAGCUAAUGAGUAAGUUGUAGUCACAUAUUGGACUUAUACCAUAAAAUGACUAAGCAUGUGAAAAGCAACAUUAAGAAUAGCAGCCCCAAAGAUAAUAUAGAAGUAACAUAGUAGGCUGGGCGCGGUGACUCACGCCUGUAAUCCCAGCACUUUGGGAGGUUGAGGCAGGUGGAUCACGAGGUCAGGAGAUGGAGACCAUCCUGACUAACACGGUGAAACCCCGUCUCUACUAAAAAUACAAAAAAUUAGCCGGGUGUGGUGGUGGGCGCCUGUAGUCCCAGCAACUCGGGAGGCUGAGGCAAGAGAAUGGCAUGAACCUGGGAGGCGGAGCUUGCAGUGAGCUGAGAUUGCGCCACUGCACUCCAGCCUGGGUGACAGAGCAGGACUUCAUCAC
rnacentral:lncRNA from 1 species